rnacentral:rRNA from 1 species
CAGCCGCCGCGGUAAUACGAAGGGUGCAAGCGUUAAUCGGAAUUACUGGGCGUAAAGCGUGCGUAGGCGGUUUGUUAAGUCUGUUGUGAAAUCCCCGGGCUCAACCUGGGAAUGGCAAUGGAUACUGGCAAGCUAGAGCGUGUCAGAGGAUGGUGGAAUUCCCGGUGUAGCGGUGAAAUGCGUAGAGAUCGGGAGGAACAUCAGUGGCGAAGGCGGCCAUCUGGGACAACACUGACGCUGAGGCACGAAAGCGUGGGGAGCAAACAGGAUUAGAGACCCGAGUAGUCCCUGUCUCUUAUCC